rnacentral:rRNA from 1 species
GACGAACGCUGGCGGCGUGCUUAACACAUGCAAGUCGAACGGUGAAAGUGGAGCUUGCUCCGCUGGAUCAGUGGCGAACGGGUAAGUAACACGUGGGCAACCUGCCCCUCACUUCGGGAUAACUCCGGGAAACCGGGGCUAAUACCGGAUAUGACCUCCUUGGGCAUCCUUGGCGGUGGAAAGUUUGUCGGUGAGGGAUGGGCCCGCGGCCUAUCAGCUUGUUGGUGGGGUAGUGGCUCACCAAGGCGACGACGGGUAGCCGGCCUGAGAGGGCGACCGGCCACACUGAGACUGAGACACGGCCCAGACUCCUACGGGAGGCAGCAGUGGGGAAUAUUGCGCAAUGGGCGAAAGCCUGACGCAGCAACGCCGCGUGCGGGAUGACGGCCUUCGGGUUAUAAACCGCUUUCAGCAGGGAAGAAGCCGCAAGGUGACGGUACCUGCAGAAGAAGCACCGGCUAACUACGUGCCAGCCGCCGCAGUAA